AUUGAACGCUGGCGGCAGGCCUAACACAUGCAAGUCGAGCGGAUGAAGGGAGCUUGCUCCUGGAUUCAGCGGCGGACGGGUGAGUAAUGCCUAGGAAUCUGCCUGGUAGUGGGGGAUAACGUCCGGAAACGGGCGCUAAUACCGCAUACGUCCUGAGGGAGAAAGUGGGGGAUCUUUGGACCUCACGCUAUCAGAUGAGCCUAGGUCGGAUUAGCUAGUUGGUGGGGUAAAGGCCUACCAAGGCGACGAUCCGUAACUGCUCUGAGAGGAUGAUCAGUCACACUGGAACUGAGACACGGUCCAGACUCCUACGGGAGGCAGCAGUGGGGAAUAUUGGACAAUGGGCGAAAGCCUGAUCCAGCCAUGCCGCGUGUGUGAAGAAGGUCUUCGGAUUGUAAAGCACUUUAAGUUGGGAGGAAGGGCAGUAAGAGAAUACCUUGCUGUUUUGACGUUACCAACAGAAUAAGCACCGGCUAACUUCGUG
rnacentral:rRNA from 1 species